CCUUCAGAAUGGCACUCACCUAUCUCUUAGGACUGACUGACCCAUGUUCAACUGCUGUUCACAUGAACCCUUCUCCACUUCGGCCUUCAAGUUCUUGUUUGAAUAUUGCUACUAACACUAAGAUCUGCGCCUGCGGCGGCUCCACCCGGGCCCGCGCCCUAGGCUUCAAGGCGCACCGCAGCGGCCCUCCUACUCGUCGCGGCCGAGGCCCCGCGGGCC